UAAUCGGGCGAGGUAUUAUCGAGUCGUUAUCAACGGGGCCGCGAGUGUGGAAACGAUGUUUAGAGGCGCAUAUCACUCGCAUUCCACGCUAUUAUGUUCGCGAGAUUCCUCGCCAUGCUCACUGAAUGCCCCCGCUCCGAGUAGCGGCGGAUUUUUUGCGUGGCGCGUUCGUAAAUCAAACCGGCUGGUCCCGCGGGCGACGUCUGAGUUCUCCGCACUCCGGCGAAUCCAGUGACAGGCUCUUCAUCCUAAGGUUCAACUUUUGGCGUCUCGGCGAAUGCGGUGCUAUAACAGUCAUGCAUUAUGAGCAUCAGGCACUUACCGCUACGACCUACACAUUCUCCAUUUCUGACUUGCGCUUUAUGUAAAUGAAAUGAGAUACUAUUAUGUCUAGUGAGAACAUUUUGCAAAUUUUUGUACUUCAUUGAAACUAAGCUCGAUUAAAUACUUCAACCUUAAGUGAA